UUUCCGUAGGUGAACCUGCGGAAGGAUCAUUAGUGAAUUGAAUAUGUUAGCGGACCUCUUCGGAGUCCCUAGCAUCAAAUCAUAUCCAUAACACCUGUGAACUGAAAGGCUGUCUUGAAAACGAAAGUGAUUAGAGCGCCUGCCCAUUUUAUACAAACAUUAAAGUAACCAACGUAGUCUUAUUAUAAUCUAAUAAAACUUUCAACAACGGAUCUCUUGGCUCUC
rnacentral:misc_RNA from 1 species